UACGUAGGGGCCUAGCGUUGUCCGGAAUUAUUGGGCGUAAAGAGCGUGUAGGCGGUCCGGUAAGUCAGCUGUGAAAGUCAAGGGCUCAACCCUUGAAUGCCGGUUGAUACUGUCGGGCUAGAGUCCGGAAGAGGCGAGUGGAAUUCCCGGUGUAGCGGUGAAAUGCGCAGAUAUCGGGAGGAACACCAAUGGCGAAGGCAGCUCGCUGGGACGGUACUGACGCUGAGACGCGAAAGCGUGGGGAGCAAACAGG
rnacentral:rRNA from 1 species